rnacentral:rRNA from 1 species
UAGCAUAUCAAUAAGCGGAGGAAAAGAAACCAACAGGGAUUGCCUCAGUAACGGCGAGUGAAGCGGCAAUAGCUCAAAUUUGAAAUCUGGCGUCUUCGGCGUCCGAGUUGUAAUUUGUAGAGGAUGCUAUUGAGUUGUCACCGGUCUAAGUUCCUUGGAACAGGACGUCAUAGAGGGUGAGAAUCCCGUAUGUGACCGGCCAGACGCUCUCUGUAUAGCUCCUUCGACGAGUCGGGUUGUUUGGGAAUGCAGCCCUAAAUGGGAGGUAAAUUUCUUCUAAAGCUAAAUACCGGCCAGAGACCGAUAGCGCACAAGUAGAGUGAUCGAAAGAUGAAAAGCACUUUGGAAAGAGAGUUAAAAAGCACGUGAAAUUGUUGAAAGGGAAGCGCUUGCAAUCAGUCUCGACGGCGGCUGUUCGGCCUCUCUUCUGAGUGGUUUAUUCAGUCGCCGCCGGGCCAGCAUCAGUUUUGGCGGUCGGAUAAAGACGCGGGGAAUGUAGCUCCCCUCGGGGAGUGUUAUAGCCCCGCGUGCAAUACGGCCCGCCGGGACUGAGGUCCGCGCUUCGGCUAGGAUGCUGGCGAAAUGGUUGUAAGCGGCCCGUCUUGAAACACGGACCAAGGAGUCUAACAUCUAUGCGAGUGUUUGGGUGUCAAACCCGUGCGCGUAAUGAAAGUGAACGGAGGUGGGAACCGCAAGGUGCACCAUCGACCGAUCCUGAUGUCUUCGGAUGGGAUUUGAGUAAGAGCAUAGCUGUUGGGACCCGAAAGAUGGUGAACUAUGCCUGAAUAGGGUGAAGCCAGAGGAAACUCUGGUGGGAGCUCGCAGCGGUUCUGACGUGCAAAUCGAUCGUCAAAUUUGGGUAUAGGGGCGAAAGACUAAUCGAACCAUCUAGUAGCUGGUCUGC